ensembl:lncRNA
CAUUUCUUCCGUUUUACUUCCUUCACCUACUCUCUCUUUCACUCUUUCUCUCCCUCCCCAUGUGCUUCAUCCUCUCUUAUCUACAUAGAGUUGGCUGUGGUGAUCACUAUAGAUGAGAUUAGGUUUAUUAGUCACAUGCACAAGGUUGCAGAUGUAAUAGCAGGGUACAGUGACAUUCUUCAGCUCUGAGCUCCAACAGUGCUGGUCAAAGAGAAGUGGAUGAAACAAUAAUAAUAAUAAUAUAUACAUAUUUACAACUGUAACAAUUAUAAAUGUCCAUUGGGGGGUGGGGGCAGGGUAAACGUCCGUUGGGGGGGACACAGGGGUAGCAGGUAGCUGACUAGUGGUGGCUAUUCAUCAGCCUGAUGGUUUGGUGGUAGAAGUCUGACAGUUUUUGCCAUGAUGUACCUAUACUGCCCACGUCUGAGUGAUGGAAGCAGGGAGAACAGGCCGUGGCUCGGGUGGCUAAGGUCUUCUUAUCACAUACGACACCUGGUGUUGUAGGUGUCCUGGAGGGCAGGCAGCAUACACCCAAUGGUGCGUUCGGCUGAGCGUACCACCUUCUGUAGAGCCUAGCAGGCUGUGAUCUAGACAACAGUAUGCUCUCGAUGGUGCUCCUGUAGAACACUGUGAGGGCCCUUGGGAACAGGCAAGAUUUCUUCAGCCUCCUGUCAGUGUGGUUUGAAGAGUCGCUGACGUGAUUUCACCACGGUGUCAGUGUGGGUUGAAGAGUCACUGUUGUACUUUCAUCACCAGGGUGUCAGUGUGGGUUGAAGAGUCACUGUUGUACUUUCAUCACCAGGGUGUCAGUGUGGGUUGAAGAGUCUCUGUUGUGCCUUCAUCACCAGGGUGUCAGUGUGGGUUGAAGAGUCUCUGUUGUGCCUUCUUUACCAAGGUGUCUGUGUGGGUUGAAGAGUCACUGUCGUACUUUCAUCACCAGGGUGUCAGUGUGGGUUGAAGAGUCUCUGUUGUGCCUUCAUCACCAGGGUGUCCGUGUGGGUUGAAGAGUCUCUGUCGUGCCUUCUUCAUCACCAGGGUGUCCGUGUGGGUUGAAGAGUCUCUGUUGUGCCUUCUUCACCAGGGUGUCAGUGUGGGUUGAAGAGUCUCUGUCGUGCCUUCUUUACCAAGGUGUCCGUGUGGGUUGAAGAGUCUCUGUCGUGCCUUCUUCAUCACCAGGGUGUCCGUGUGGGUUGAAGAGUCUCUGUCGUGCCUUCUUCACCAAGGUGUCAGUGUGGUUAGACCAUUUCAGUUCCUCUGAGAUGUGUACGCCGAGGAACUUAAAUCUUUUUGACCCCCUUCACGGUGGCCCUGUUACUAUAAAUCCACUAUGAUCAUGAACAGAUAGAUGCAGGAUGUGUGACUGGUUACAGUGAAUGAAACAAAUGUACAUUACAGUAGGCUAAAGUGAUACACAUUACAGUAGGCUAAAGUUAAGCACAUUAUAGUAGGCUAAAGUGAUACACAUUAGAGUAGGCUAAAGUUAAGCACAUUAUAGUAGGCUAAAGUGAUACACAUUAUAGUAGGCUAAAGUUAAGCACAUUAUAGUAGGCUAAAGUGA